UUCUAGUGGCGAACGGGUGCGUAAUAUGUGAGAAUCUGCCCUUAGGAGAAGAAUAACUGUUGGAAACGACUGCUAAAUCUUCAUAUGCCGAGAGGUGAAAUAGCUUUUGUUGCCUAAGGAUGAGCUCACGCCUGAUUAGCUAGUUGGUAAGGUAAUGGCUUACCAAGGCCACGAUCAGUAGCUGGUUUGAGAGAACGAUCAGCCACACUGGGACUGAGACACGGCCCAGACUCCUCCGGGAGGCAGCAGUGAGGAAUUUUCCGCAAUGGGCGAAAGCCUGACGGAGCAAUACCGCGUGAGGGAUGAAGUAUUUUGGUAUGUAAACCUCUUUUCUCAAGAAAGAAGUUCUGACCGUACUUGAGGAAUAAGCAUCGGCUAACUCCGUGCCAGCAGCCGCGGUAAUACGGGGGAUGCAAGCGUUAUCCGGAAUCAUUGGGCGUAAAGCGCCUGUAGGUUGUUUAGUAAGUCCGUUGUUAAAGACUAGGGCUUAACCCCAGAAAAGCGAUGGAAACUACUAGACUA
rnacentral:rRNA from 1 species